rnacentral:rRNA from 1 species
CCUACGGGUGGCAGCAGUGGGGAAUAUUGCACAAUGGGGGAAACCCUGAUGCAGCGACGCCGCGUGAGUGAAGAAGUAAUUCGUCAUGUAAAGCUCUAUCAGCAGGGAAGAAAAUGACGGUACCUGAGUAAGAAGCCCCGGCUAACUACGUGCCAGCAGCCGCGGUAAUACGUAGGGGGCAAGCGUUAUCCGGAUUUACUGGGUGUAAAGGGAGCGUAGACGGCAGUGCAAGCCAGGAGUGAAAGGCCGGGGCUCAACCCCGGGACUGCUCUGGAAACUGUACGGCUGGAGUGCAGGAGGGGUAGGCGGAAUUCCUGGUGUAGCGGUGAAAUGCGUAGAUAUUAGGAGGAACACCAGUGGCGAAGGCGGCUUGCUGGACUGUAACUGACGUUGAGGCUCGAAAGCGUGGGGAGCAAACAGGAUUAGAUACCCCGGUAGUC